UAGCCACGCGCCAAAGUAUUUUGUACCUAAGAGUACGGCAGAUGUUUCUAACGAGCGAAGAACCUUAGCUCUAGAAAGAGUAAAAGAGAGAGAGAGAGAGAGGGGGGGGAGAGAAAGACGGAACAGCAUUGAGGAGAAGGGGAAGGAAAAAAGAGGAGAGAGAAGAGUAUCGAUCGCGAUAUGCCACGCACCGUCGCGAUUAGUCGGCCGUCGUAAUGAAGAUAAGUCCUAACGAGCUCGCUGUCGGCGCGUUAUCGGGCCGAGAGACAUGCGAUCAACGAGCUUUCGAAGGAUAAGCCUACCAAGAAGGUAGAAGUAGAAGUUACGAAAGAGUCGAAAAAAAGAAGGGAAAAAAUUCUUUGACUUCGCCACCGGCGGUAAAUUAUCUCCUGAAGUCUGAUCAGAACAACACGGUGGCUCGUGUACCUGUGCCAUCAACGUGAAAUUUAUGUCCUUUUGUCUACCCUGCAGUCCUUCUGUAUAUUUAUUUCUUGAUCGUUCGAUUGGAGAAAGUAAUGCGAAAGCUAUAGACGUUUAUCGGUUGAACCUUUUGGUGAUUCGUUUAGAUAUAGUAAUAAGUUAAUCCAAAGAUUCACUGACUAUAACAUUAAAAAAUCGUGUUGCAUCGAUCAAGUAUGAGAAAGUUAAGGAAUCCGGAAGUGAGUGGAAGCACCUUGCAUCGUAUAAGGGGUUGAGAAAGAGGGUUGUCAGAGUCUCUUAAAAGUCAGUGAAUCCAUCUACGAAGGACCCUAGUGCGAGGGUGCAGGGGUUGGUACUAGGUGUUCGACCAAAUCGGGGGUUGUGCACCCCCAGAUCGGUAGCGCGUGUCCUCUUCAAUGGAGUAGUCCACCGCUAUUGCCAAGAGGUACCCCAUCUAAAAGGGGUUAAAUGCUCUUUUUUUUUCCCCGCGACGCGCCGUCAAGGUGUUGACCGCCCCUCACGACGAAAAAUCAACGUCAACGGAGGGAACCCGAAGUGGCCCCGAUUAGGAAUCGUUUCGUGACAACGGAAUAAAAACACACGGUAAAGACGAUACGCGAAAUAUACAAUUUGAAGCAAUAGAUUCGAGAGAAGAGAUAUAGAAAUCGAGAGGUGAAUGUCCUCGGGAGAGUGAAGACCGAGCAUCGAAGAUCAAGAGAAAAUGAAAGAGAAAGAGAGGGUAGCAGGGGUGAUUUUUCAUUUUUCGAUGCCACGAAACACCGACAAUGGACGCGUGUCACGACGGUAGCAGCUGCUUUCGCCACUGUGUUUAGCCCGCGCACAUGGCACAUAGAGACUCGCCGCCAUCGCAGCAAGAUCGCAUAUCGUAAGAUCGAAGUUGCGCAGCUUUAGCCGUAUUUGAAUUGGUCGGGAAUGUGUUGCUCGCAUUUGAAAUAAGCCGCUUUGUCUUUCUAGAAUUUAGUUUUUCUUUUUGUUAAAUUUUUCUUCUACAAUUAAUUGCUGUAAUUCCUACAAGCGACGUUCCAUUACUGACAUUUAAUUUUAUCAGGUUUUAUUGAAUUAAGUGCACUCAAGCUUAUUGCUAUUAUAAAAAUUAAUAUCGUAAUUUUACCUUGACAUGAUGUAAGAAAUAUCGGCGAGAAAGGAGAGUGGAAAAAACCUUUGAUCGACUUAUUUGAAAAAUGUAUUUUUUUUUUUUUUUUGAGCCUUUAAUAGGCUCAACAGUCGCCACUUCACGGAUCAGUUGUUCAACGAAGAGAUCGAUAUUCGAAAGGAUCCAGAAAAGAAAGAUACGAUCUACCUUCUUGGGCUCCAUCACUAUGGCGGACUAGCCGAAGCGAAAUGUCAGGUAGACGAACGUUCUACGAUGAAACGAAUAAAGGUUCCUUCUUUGGCAUGGGCUCUUAUUCUGUUAGAUAUUUUAUAUGAAAGAAGUAAUCUUCAGAAUUAUAUUAUAUUGUAUAACAUUUUUUCUAUGAAGAAAAUUUAUUUAUUUUUAUCAAUAUAUUUGCGUUAACUUUUAUUUCAAUGAUUCAAGUCGUUCAAAUGUUAAUAUAGAUACUGUCGUAUUGUUUCAAGAGAAAUAAAUUGUAUUUUGUAAUAGUUCAAAUCUAUCAGAGCGAAGUAAAAAAUCAAGAAAAAAGAUAAAAAAUCGAUGCAUCUUCUGUCGCACGACAAGAGUAUAUCUAUUCGUUGAACCUUUGGUAGAAGAAUACGCAUUAAUUUAUAUCUGCAUAGGCUGACUAUUAUUAUGUUAAUUUUUUAACCUACCCGCUGACAUCAUGGAACCAGAUAUUCUGGUAGCAUCCCAUACCUAUGCUUGCUAACGUACGUAUACGUUUAUAUGCACGUACGAUUAAAAUGCGCUCGGCUUAUACAUACAUAAAAAGAAAAAAAAAAAAAAAAAAGAAGAAGAAAAAGAUGGUCCUAGCACCUGGGAAAAUCAGCAGACGGAGAUAAUUCGCAGCAUCCAUCGCAGCAUUUAUUCUUUUCAUCGUGUAUGGAUAGCGACCCAAGAGAAAAGAUGAUGCUUAACAACGAUGUUUCUUCGGAAAAGUCGAAAGGAAAGGAAUAGCUAGCAAUAGAUAGUAGUUCGAUUAAGAUACAAGACGCAACGCAGCCGGAUGGAUAAAGAAAAGACAUAGAAUAUACCCGCAGGAUGGUUUAUAAGGGUGAAUGUGAAAAAAAUUAACUCUUAUUCGAGUGCUAAUGCUUCGACACGUAUGGAUAAAAAUCUAUGAAACCCUCAUCAAAUGAAAGAAUUAACAGAGCGAGAAAUUCCGGGACAACAAUAUUUUGAACAGCUGGGAGAAAAUGUACAGCUUGCUACUGAACGAAAAAAAUAAGACUAUACGCAAUACUGUGUUGUUUGUUACGAACUUAAAAUCGAUCGAUCUGUUUCAUACUUCUCUUAUCCCACCCUUCGUACCACGCGGAAUUACGCUUCAAUUUGUGAGCCACUUCGCUCUAUCUUUUGUUGGAACGUCCCAUAAAGAAAGAAAGUCGUAAAACGGUAGGCAAGACUGUCUGUUUCAUGUGGACCCUAUCUUUCUACAUAGUAGAAACAGCCAAUCCCACGGGUUUCAAAGAUUCGACAUUUUUCCUCUUUUUGUUCCCCCCUUCCGAACGCGCUAACGAUUUAUUCCGACAACCUCUCCGAUUCGAUAUCAACGACUCUAUUUUUUAGCCUAGAGCAAAUCAACUGCCUUCCAAAACCCUUGCUCCGAUAUUUUUGUACUCCAAUACUGGAGAGGAAGAAGAAAUUCAAAUUAGGCAGUCUUUUUAGAAUGGUUUUGGUACGAACAAUACAUGUUCGUUUGUAUCACGUUGGUAGGGGAAAAGGGUGUAAUAACAUAGAUCUUGUAUUAUGGUUUAUGAUAUUGUUUAUUAAAUCCAAUUGUUACAAAUUAAAAUGGAUUACAAUGGUAUAUAUUUUUAAUACAUUUUCCAAGUACACAUUUACUUUCAGAAAGAGAGUAUGUGAUGAUAUAUAUAUAUAUAUAUAUGACACAGUGUAUGAUUAUCGAUUAUCUUAUGCUUAUCUCCUGGGAAGAAGAAGAAAAAAAAGCAAGUAUUUUAAGGAAGGACGAGAACGACCCUGUGACCCACGAUCGUAUAAGUACGGUUGAAACGUUUUUUUAUGGUGCGUUACACGUGCCUUGCGAUUUCAUCGAAGUGGGGAGUACGAAUCGAAGGAGGUAGUGUACAAGGACGGUACAACGAUUUGAGUAAUCCAAGAGUAACAGAGAGAAGGAAAGAAGAAAAGAAGAAAGCAAAGAAGGAAGGAAGGAAGGAAGGAAGGAAGGAAGGAAGGAAGGAACUAGCGUCGCAGCAUCCCUCGGCUCAUCGAAAGACGCGCGCCGUCGCUAAACAGGGGUUGAGAAGGUUCGAACGAGCACAUGCGCUGUUUGGUUGAAGCGCGUCGUAACUCCCCACUACCUAUCCAAACUGUUGUGAGCACAUUCAGUUCUGGAUGAGGAGUGGGAAGAGGAGGGAAGGGUUCCGAGUACCCCACCAUCGCCGAAAAAUCUUCAUCGUUCGAGUUCGGCCAAUGUCGUUUUCCAUUCGUCUUUUUCCGUAAAGAUUCGGUUCGUGUCGUACUCUCCCCACCAUUCAACGAUGAGCGCGAGGUCGUGUAGAAUUUCCCUUUCCACCGGAUCGGGUUGGUCCUGGCCUGGCGCUUGGUAUCCUGGCUUCCCGCCAUGGCGGGCGGGAUGACACUGCCGAGGAGUGCCGAGCCGUGCCGAGUCGCUUACGAGCGCCGAAACGCGGGCAGCUGCCGGCUGGUUCCGCGACUCUCCGAGGCCACGGACAAAGAAUAUACUCUCUUGCCGAGCAAUACAGUCACCGCGCGCGCGGCGAGAGCACACACUCAGCACGGGGCAGCACGCCGUGAAAACCAAAGAUCGUACAAAUCAAUCGCCUUCUAACAAGCCGCAUUAACCUCAAGUGAUUUAUAUUUUCUUACGAAGCGCGAAAGAAGUAAUUAGUGUGUUUAUAUCGUAUAAAAGAAGAAGAAAACAAAAAAAAAAGAUAU